UACGUAGGGUGCAAGCGUUGUCCGGAAUUAUUGGGCGUAAAGAGCUCGUAGGCGGCCUGUUGCGUCCGCUGUGAAAGCCCGGGGCUUAACCCCGGGUCGGCAGUGGAUACGGGCAGGCUAGAGGUAGGUAGGGGAGAAUGGAAUUCCCGGUGUAGCGGUGAAAUGCGCAGAGUAUCGGGAGGAACACCGGUGGCGAAGGCGGUCUGCUGGGCCGUUGCUGACGGCUGAGCGCGACAGCGUGGGGAGCAAACAGG
rnacentral:rRNA from 1 species